GACGAACGCUGGCGGCGUGCUUAACACAUGCAAGUCGAACGGAAAGGCCCUGCUUGCAGGGUACUCGAGUGGCGAACGGGUGAGUAACACGUGGGUGAUCUGCCCUGCACUUCUGGAUAAGCCUGGGAAACUGGGUCUAAUACCGGAUAGGAGCCAUUCUUAGUGUGAUGGUUGGAAAGUUUUUUCGGUGUAGGAUGAGCUCGCGGCCUAUCAGCUUGUUGGUGGGGUAAUGGCCUACCAAGGCGGCGACGGGUAGCCGGCCUGAGAGGGUGGACGGCCACAUUGGGACUGAGAUACGGCCCAGACUCCUACGGGAGGCAGCAGUGGGGAAUAUUGCACAAUGGGCGCAAGCCUGAUGCAGCAACGCCGCGUGGGGGAUGACGGCCUUCGGGUUGUAAACUCCUUUCGCUAGGGACGAAGCUUGAGUGACGGUACCUAGAUAAGAAGCACCGGCUAACUACGUG
rnacentral:rRNA from 1 species